AUGAGCUGCACUCCUGCCAGCCGGUUACCCCCUCCCCACAGUGUGAAUGUGGUGACUGCCCCAGAGGAUUCAGCAGAUCCAAAACAGAGGAGAGGGAGCAGAGUCUACCAGAUCUUCCCUUGCCCCCUGACUCCCAUGGCCAUAGAGUCAGAAUCUGAGUCUUUUGCCGAGGAUCCUAUUCACUGCAGGGGGCGGCUGCCCUCCAUCGUGGUGCAGACUGACGAGGCAAGCGAGAUCAGGGAGCUGCUCUGCUCCCAGGGAGCAGACAAGGAGAAGGAGGAGGACCCCUACAACAAGCAGAGCUCCCAGACAGAGAGCUGCAUCAGUGGGGACAACCAAGAGGAUAUGGUGGUGCCGCAGGGGAGAAGAAAGAGUUCUAUUGCAGCUCAAUCCCUCAGUGUCGCCCGUUUGACUCCUCCCCACUCGACCCUCCACGAGACUGCCCCACCCAAGCCUGAGGAGAUGAGCCAAUAGGAGCAGAGCACAAACAGUGACAUAUCUACAGAACUCUUUCUGACAUCAUCAUCAUCAGAACUCUCUCUGGACAAACACCCUGUGGAUUUUUACCUCUCUAAUAUGUAACCAAAAAUGACAUGUUUCAAGAUGACUGGAAUGUGUUUUUAUCAUUUAAUGUGUUUAAUAAUUGUUUACUGUUAAAAUAAAGAUUUAAAAUGCCAUAUAUUAUCGAAACGGUAGUUCCUCUCCCUUUUGGGAAACUAGAAAGAAUGUGUACAUACAACAGAAAUACCCGUAGUUUUCAGACUGUAUUCAAGACACAGCUCUGUUGCUAUGUGACAAUAUGGAAACAAGCAAGUGGCUGGGGUUGGAAUGGCAUCCUAUUCCCUAUAUAGUGCACAACUUUUGACCAGAGCCCUAUGGGUCCCUGUCAAAAGGAAUGCACUAUGUAGGGAAUAGGGUGCCAUUUGAGACACAUCCUAGGUCUGAGAGAUACUAAUAUAGAGUGCAAUGGGCUGUUCAGGGUGAAUAUUUUCCAAUCUGUCCCACACCUCUCCCCGCGGCAAAUACUAUUGUUCAGUUAAAGACUAUCAACAUAGAUUUACAAACCAGCAGCUUGCGACUCUGGCGUCUACCCAGCAAAGCUGUUGUUAUGACUGUUACUGUAGCAAUGGUGUUCUCUAUUGCCGUCAUGGAACAAGCAGGUCACAGCGUUAUUCGCUACCUAAAACAAAUAGGCUCCAUACGAACACUAAAGUUGAGGUACAAAGUAUUUUUACACAAUGGCUGUGGUAUGGAUGUGAUACAAUUGCUAUUUUUGUGGUCCAAAUGAGUUUGUCUGCACGACCAUUGUGCUGUCUCCGCAACAGUUGUGUAACACUUUUGUCAAAUUGGUUGUACUUCAGUUUGUGCAAAAAGAUUUUGUCACAGUUGCCCCUGCAUCUCCCUGGUGAUAAUAUGGGAGACACGUGUUAGGAUUUUAUUGAGACGCAAAAACGCUGGACUGUAAAGGUAAAAUCGCAGAAACCACUUGUUUGGAGCAAUUAUUGAUUGAUUUUACGUAGUCAUAUUUUGACCUACUAUACUCUUUUGAUAGCUUACUAUAAGUAUGUUUUUUUGUGAGCACAUGCCAUUGUUUCGGACAGUCAAAUAAGGACGUGGCACAGAAAGGAAAACAAAUGAAUAAAGUCACGUAGCUCAUUAAUAUUGACCUCUUUGAUUAAUCACAAAAUGUUAUCUUGUAACUGUGGCACCAUAGAUGUGCUCCUAUGUCUUUCUCAUUGGGUGGAAAUUCCUUUAAGGGUUUUUGAACAUUUUGCAGGCCAGGCACCAUCAAACGGUAUGAGUGUGAGCAAUCGCAAAUGACUCUGCAUUGAUGUUUAAUAUUCCAUCCACAGUAUGAAUAAAGAACACCUAAUUGAAUACUGGUCUGGCACAGUCUUUCCCUUUGUGAGACAAGAGCUCCGGAACUCAAGAAAACACAGCAUUUCUAACUGUGUGGCUUUCUCCCAUCCAGAUCGUGGAGUAUUUGGAUGACAUCUGGAUCUUUAUUACACCCUCUCCUGCGUUUCUCAUGUCAUGUCGCUGUCAUAUGGAGAAUGACUGAGGAAAUAAAGACAUGUUACUUGGAAGAAAAAAAAGAGUAGUAGAGUAGUAGAGAGUUCAGGGUUAGAAAGUCACACACAAAGUCGAAUCCAAUAUCUUCCUUACCUGAUUUUAUAUAUUUACUACAUGCAGCAGCCAGUAGCAGGCAGGAAAAAAGCUUUUUGAUGUUUUGGUCAAAGCUUUCUUCAGUGUGUGCAUGACUAUGACAUGUUACCUCAAAGCCAUUUGACCUAAUAGAGCUGGUUAGCUGGUUCAGGUUUUUUCCAAACCUCCCACAAGGGUUGGGGUCAAUUCCAUGUCAAUUCAGGAAGUAAUCAGAUCUUCUAAUUCCAAUUGCUUCUCCAUGAGAUUUAAUUUAAAAAAAAUCUGAAUAUGAGUUUACUUCCUGAAUUGACUGAAUUGAAAUGGAACUGACCCCAACCCUGCAUCCCACUGACCUCAGUGAAAGUAAACUAGCUCAAGACUAUCUGAGGAGAAUCUUAUUCCGGACACAUGCUUUUUCAUCUCGUUAUUCCCAUGAAUUUUUCAGCGAAUUUCAUACGCAAUAAGAUAGGAAAUCAGAAAUUAACAAUAGAAUGGGAAAUGUAAAAACAAAAGUAUAAAAACAAUCUAAUAACAAAGAUAUGUACCUCAACAACAACAAGAGGUGCCUGUGUCAGUAACACUAUCGACAUAUUAGAUCCCUCAAAUAUAUAUUCCAGUAGUAUCACAGGGGAAUGUUUACCUGCCAACCUCUACAUUUCUAUCGCAGUAUUGUAAUGUCUACUUAGUCUAGAGGAAGUACACAAUUAACACACACAGGCAGAUGUUUACCAGAGCCUGGAGCUCUAUACUGAUGAGGAUGUUAGAGCUCAUCAGUUGGAGGAGGAAGUGUGUGUCCCAUUCUACUCAGCUGUGCAUCCUCAAAGUGUCAAAUUCCAGUUUAUCAGGAGGUUGUCGCAUAUAUGUGUUGAUAGAAAUCAUAAGGAAAAGAGUAGGGCUUAAACCAAGAC
ensembl:lncRNA